rnacentral:misc_RNA from 1 species
CGUCGAAGGUGGGGCUGAUGACUGGGGUGAAGUCGUAACAAGGUAUCCGUACCGGAAGGUGCGGAUGGAUCACCUCCUAACAGGGAGACAACACAAUGAUUUUGAUGCCUGAGUGCUUUUAUUCUUAGGCCGAAAUCCUGUCACCUUAGGUCGAUCGGUACCUCAGCUUUGAAGUCAAGAAUCAGCAGCAAUGUUGAUGUUUUGAUGGAGAUUUUCAGUUCCUAAACUUUGUCUAGGUCACACCCCAAAAGGGAUGAGACUCCUGGGCCAUUAGCUCAGGUGGUUAGAGCGCACCCCUGAUAAGGGUGAGGUCCCUGGUUCAAGUCCAGGAUGGCCCAUUCGGUGUUGGGGGUUUAGCUCAGUUGGUAGAGCGCCUGCUUUGCAAGCAGGAUGUCAGGAGUUCGAGUCUCCUAACCUCCACUGACCGAACUUGAUUCCCAUCUCCAAAGUAUUGGAGUUGAGCUCGAUUGGAGUGUGAUUUAGAUGUGUCCGCUGGAUGACCCCAGCUUCCUGUCAUUCCAAGUUUUAAGUUGAAAGCUUUGAAUUUGGUUGAUAAGAUGCUGGGCUCAGAUCAAAUGAUCAAGUAAUUGAUGAUUUGAUUUGAAGUUCUAGCAGAACCUUGACAACUGCAUAGGUGAGUCUGGAAAAAACAAAGCAUCUUACAGAUGCAUUGUUUUGAAUCUGAUCUUCUGAAAGGGAGAUUGGAUCUAGAACAAUGAAAAUUCUUUUGAGCAAGAGCCGAGACUCUUGAGCGUUCUUUGAUUUGUGUCGAGCGAAUCAGAGUUUGAUCUUGUUUUUAGCAAUAAAAACUUGAGAAUCUGCUUUCAACGGCGGUAAGCGUUCAGGAGGUUAAUUGGUCAAGCUACAAAGGGCUCA